rnacentral:rRNA from 1 species
AGAGAGAGACAUGCGCGCAUAUCAAUAAGCGGAGGAAAAGAAACUAACAAGGAUUCCCUUAGUAACGGCGAGUGAAGCGGGAAGAGCUCAAAUUUGAAAUCUUCAAGGUUCUACCUUGACGAAUUGUAGUUUAUAGAAGUGUUUUCUGUUAGUGGAGUGGCAAAAGUUCUUUGGAAUAGGACAUCAUAGAGGGUGAGAAUCCCGUAUUUGGUCAUUCCUCCUAGCGUUGUGAUACACUUUCAACGAGUCGGAUUGUUUGGGAAUGCAGUCCAAAAUGGGUGGUAAAUUUCAUCUAAAGCUAAAUAUUGGCGAGAGACCGAUAGCGAACAAGUACCGUGAGGGAAAGAUGAAAAGAACUUUGAAAAGAGAGUUAAACAGUACGUGAAAUUGUCAAAAGGGAAGCGUUUGACACCAGUGUUGUUUUUUCCGAAAAUCAAUUACGAAUGUUUUAUUUUUGAGGAGUUAUGACUUCAUCGGCUUGCUCCUUUCUUUACUGAAACUUUCUUAAUGCACUUUUCGGUUAACAAGUCAACAUCAAUUUCUUUUGUUGUAAAAGGGUAUGAGGAAGGUGGCUUUCUUUUCGGAGAAAGUGUUUAUAGCCUUGUGACCUCUGCAAUCGGAGAGAUUGAGGUCUGCAGCGUAGAUCCUUCGGGGUUAGAUACAGUUUGUGCUAAGUUAUAGCUUUUCAUAGACAACUUGUUGACUAUGUUUAGUCUUGUAGGCUUACUCGCUGACUGCUAUUUUACCUACGCUUAGGAUGUUGAUAGUCACAGCGUGUAC